GGAGUGUGUCUGCUGGUGAGUGGUCUGCUAAGAUUUGGACUAAUAACCCUUGAGAUCAUCCAGAGCCUCCUCCCCUGGGUGAAUUCCCCAAUGGAAAACUUCCGAAUCACCGGCACAGCUUUCCUUGCCCAGCUAAUGACUGAUCCCAUGCUCAGG